rnacentral:rRNA from 1 species
AUCCUACGGGGCGCAGCAGUGGGGAAUAUUGCACAAUGGGGGAAACCCUGAUGCAGCGACGCCGCGUGAGUGAAGAAGUAUCUCGGUAUGUAAAGCUCUAUCAGCAGGGAAGAAAAUGACGGUACCUGACUAAGAAGCCCCGGCUAACUACGUGCCAGCAGCCGCGGUAAUACGUAGGGGGCAAGCGUUAUCCGGAUUUACUGGGUGUAAAGGGAGCGUAGACGGCGCUGCAAGUCCGGAGUGAAAGCCCAUGGCCCAACCGCGGGACUGCAUUGGGAACUACCGGGCUGGAGUGCCGGAGAGGG